rnacentral:rRNA from 1 species
UACGAAGGGGGCUAGCGUUGCUCGGAAUCACUGGGCGUAAAGCGCACGUAGGCGGCUUUCUAAGUCAGGGGUGAAAUCCUGGAGCUCAACUCCAGAACUGCCUUUGAUACUGGGAGCUCGAGUCCGGAAGAGGUGAGUGGAACUGCGAGUGUAGAGGUGAAAUUCGUGGAUAUUCGCAAGAACACCAGUGGCGAAGGCGGCUCACUGGUCCGGUACUGACGCUGAGGUGCGAAAGCGUGGGGAGCAAACAGG